AUGAGUUUAAAACAAAUCAUGGAGAAUGGAUCACUUUAGUGAAACCAAAGUUUGGGGAUAAUAUAUCCGGACGUGUUCGUACAACAAUCAAGUCAGUACCUCAGGAUGUAAAAUUUCUGUAUAAAGUGAGGACCGAAUUUCUUUCUGCAUUACAGAACCUUCUAAAGGAAGAUGGAAUUCUUGUUCUUCCAACAAUAGUUGAUCCUCCAAUAAAACUUAACUAAAUAAAAUGUCAGGCUGCUGAGUUUUAUGAUCAAGCACUAGUGUUAUCCUGCAUAUCAAGCAUGUCUGGUUGCUGUCAGACUUUACCUAUCCAUAUGGACUUCGUUCUACAACACAAGAGGAUUCAGAUUCUUCCUCUGACAGAAUGUCUCAGUUUGGAACUACAAGAGAGUACCAUAUGCAGACUGAGUUGUGGUAUGAUGACAAAGAUGAUGGACCAUAUAUAACUCCUAGCUUUGGUGGGUUAGACCCUUUUACCUGCCCGGGUGAGGAUAAGUUUUUCACGACUUCUGGGAUGGUAACUAAUAUGCCAAUAAAUCUGUUUUCCUUUAAUCGUUAUCAGGAGAUUCACCCGUAUAAAGUACACCUGCAAAAGAAUAGAAUCUUAAGUGAUUGCUAGUCCCUUAUCUUAAAUAUUCUUGCUUGUAAUGAGAAAUUCUAAAAGAAUUCAGUAAGGCAAUAAAGAUGCUAAGUUAAAUUAAGAAAAAAAGAAGUACUUAUUGUUAAUUUAGCUACUGCUAGGUAAAACUGAUAGCAAUCAUGCAAUGUGCCAGGAAAGCAAUUCAUAAUGUAUUUUUUACAUCACAGACGCACUCUUAACUUAUGGUUGAUUCUGUUAUGGAACAUCAGAGCAUCGUAGAGGCGAAGAAAGUCAAACUUCCAUAAUGCCAUUUAAAACUGCAACUUACGGUAAACUGCCUUUGAACACGUCAUCCAUGGAUAUUGUUAUUGGUGUCUCCAAAGUACGCGACUUUCCUGCUGCUCCACUGCUUGCUGAAAUGUUUAGAAUUCUGAAGCCAAGAGGGAAGAAUUCUGAUUCAUUUGAUUGAACUUUCUGGUGAUCUACCUUCCGAAAAUAUUCUGUCUUCUCUGCAGCGGCAGAUACUUGUAGCGGGAUUCUUGGAACCAGAAGCUGACUAGAAGCAACCUGAUGCUUUUUCGGGAGUUCAGUCUAUACAAGUCUAUACUCCGAGGAAUGUGUCUUAUGCUAGUGAGGACUUGAUGUGGUUCGUGAGCAAAGGGCUAAGUUUUUUACCAGCAAGUAUUUAUUGUUUGGCCUAAGCGUGCUUGAUCAGUUGGUUUAGAUGUUAUAGAACAAUCUUUUAUAUUAAAAUGUAUGCGUACGUUUAAAUUGGAACACAUAUUUAAAUGUAGUAUGUGCAUUUUGAUUUUGGGAUAUAUAUACAAAACUCCAGUUAUUUGUUCUA